rnacentral:rRNA from 1 species
GGAUGAACGCUAGCGAUAGGCCUAACACAUGCAAGUCGAGGGGCAUCACAUGAGGUAGCAAUACUGAUGGUGGCGACCGGCGCACGGGUGAGUAACACGUAUGCAACCUACCUUCCACACGGGGACAACCCGGAGAAAUCCGGACUAAUACCCGAUAAUACAGGGGUCCCGCAUGGGAAUAUUUGUUAAAGAUUUAUUGGUAGAAGAUGGGCAUGCGUUCCAUUAGUUAGUUGGUGAGGUAACGGCUCACCAAGGCGACGAUGGAUAGGGGAACUGAGAGGUUUAUCCCCCACACUGGAACUGAGACACGGUCCAGACUCCUACGGGAGGCAGCAGUGAGGAAAAUUGGUCAAUGGAGGCAACUCUGAACCAGCCAAGUCGCGUGAAGGAUGAAGGUCUUAUGGAUUGUAAACUUCUUUUUCAAGGGAAUAAAGUGGGGGACGUGUCCUCCUUUGCAUGUACCUUGCGAAUAAGGAUCGGCUAACUCCGUGCCAGCAGCCGCGGUAAUACGGAGGAUCCGAGCGUUAUCCGGAUUUAUUGGGUUUAAAGGGUGCGCAGGCGGGAUGUUAAGUCGGCGGUGAAAUUUUGCAGCUCAACUGUAAAAGUGCCUUCGAUACUGGCUUCCUUGAGUGUGGAUGAAGUAGGCGGAAUUUGUGGUGUAGCGGUGAAAUGCUUAGAUAUCACGAGGAACUCCGAUUGCGCAGGCAGCUUACUAAACCACUACUGACGCUCAUGCACGAAGGCGUGGGGAUCAAACAGGAUUAGAUACCCUGGUAGUCCACGCAGUAAACGAUGAUUACUAGUUGUUUGCGAUACAAUGUAAGCGACUGAGCGAAAGCGUUAAGUAGUCCACCUGGGGAGUACGUUCGCAAGAAUG